rnacentral:rRNA from 1 species
AUUGAACGCUGGCGGCAGGCUUAACACAUACAAGUCGAGCGGGGAUAGGGUGCUUGCACCUGAUUCCUAGCGGCGGACGGGUGAGUAAUGCUUAGGAAUCUGCCUAUUAGUGGGGGACAACAUUCCGAAAGGGAUGCUAAUACCGCAUACGCCCUACGGGGGAAAGCAGGGGAUCUUCGGACCUUGCGCUAAUAGAUGAGCCUAAGUCGGAUUAGCUAGUUGGUGGGGUAAAGGCCUACCAAGGCGACGAUCUGUAGCGGGUCUGAGGAUGAUCCGCCACACUGGGACUGAGACACGGCCCAGACUCCUACGGGAGGCAGCAGUGGGGAAUAUUGGACAAUGGGGGGAACCCUGAUCCAGCCAUGCCGCGUGUGUGAAGAAGGCCUUUUGGUUGUAAAGCACUUUAAGCGAGGAGGAGGCGCUCUAGGAU